CGAGCGGAAGCUUACACAUGCAAGUCGAACGGUCUCUUCGGAGAUAGUGGCGGACGGGUGAGUAACGCGUGAGAAUCUAGCUUCAGGUCGGGGACAACCACUGGAAACGGUGGCUAAUACCGGAUGUGCCGAAAGGUGAAAGAUUUAUUGCCUGAAGAUGAGCUCGCGUCUGAUUAGCUAGUUGGUGUGGUAAGAGCGCACCAAGGCGACGAUCAGUAGCUGGUCUGAGAGGAUGAUCAGCCACACUGGGACUGAGACACGGCCCAGACUCCUACGGGAGGCAGCAGUGGGGAAUUUUCCGCAAUGGGCGAAAGCCUGACGGAGCAAUACCGCGUGAGGGAGGAAGGCUCUUGGGUUGUAAACCUCUUUUCUCAGGGAAUAAAAAAAUGAAGGUACCUGAGGAAUAAGCAUCGGCUAACUCCGUGCCAGCAGCCGCGGUAAUACGGAGGAUGCAAGCGUUAUCCGGAAUGAUUGGGCGUAAAGCGUCCGCAGGUGGCACUGUAAGUCUGCUGUUAAAGAGCAAGGCUCAACCUUGUAAAGGCAGUGGAAACUACAGAGCUAGAGUACGUUCGGGGCAGAGGGAAUUCCUGGUGUAGCGGUGAAAUGCGUAGAAAUA
rnacentral:rRNA from 1 species